rnacentral:misc_RNA from 1 species
CGCACAUUGCGCCCGCCAGUAUUCUGGCGGGCAUGCCUGUUCGAGCGUCAUUUCAACCCUCGACCCCCCUGGGACUUGUGCCCUGGCGGCGGUCGGUGUUGGGGCUCGGGCUCCCCCUAGCCGGGUGCCCGUCCCCUAAAGACAGUGGCGGUCACGCUGCAGCUUCCUCUGCGUAGUAAUUCACCUCGCAGCCUGGAGAGCGGCGCGGCCACGCCGUAAAACCCCCUACUUCUUAAGGUUGACCUCGGAUCAGGUAGGAAUACCCGCUGAACUUAA